UACAGAGGGGGCAAGCGUUGUUCGGAAUUACUGGGCGUAAAGGGCGCGUAGGCGGCCCGCUAAGUCGAACGUGAAAUCCCCGAGCUCAACUCGGGAACUGCGUCCGAUACUGGCGGGCUUGAAUCCGGGAGAGGGAUGCGGAAUUCCAGGUGUAGCGGUGAAAUGCGUAGAUAUCUGGAGGAACACCGGUGGCGAAGGCGGCAUCCUGGACCGGCAUUGACGCUGAGGCGCGAAAGUUAGGGGAGCAAACGGG
rnacentral:rRNA from 1 species